CCUACGGGUGGCAGCAGUGAGGAAUAUUGGUCAAUGGCCGGAAGGCUGAACCAGCCAAGCCGCGUGAAUGACGAAGGUGCCCAGCUUUGUAAACUUCUUUUGUCAAGGGAAAAAAUCAGGCUAGAGAGCCUGCCCGAGGGUACUUGAAGAAAAAGCAUCGGCUAACUCCGUGCCCGCACCCGCGGUAAUGAGGUGGAUGCGAGCGUUAUCAGGAUUUAUGGGGUUUAAAGGGGGCGUAGGCGGACUGUUAAGUCCGCGGUAAAAGCCAGGGGCUCAACCGCGGCGAGCCGUUGAAACUGGCUGACUUGAGAUGUAGAGAGGUAAGCGGAAUGAGAAGUGAAGCGGUGGAAUGCUUAGAUA
rnacentral:rRNA from 1 species